rnacentral:rRNA from 1 species
AUUGAACGCUGGCGGCAGGCCUAACACAUGCAAGUCGAGCGGAUGAAGGGAGCUUGCUCCUGGAUUCAGCGGCGGACGGGUGAGUAAUGCCUAGGAAUCUGCCUGGUAGUGGGGGAUAACGUCCGGAAACGGGCGCUAUUACCGCAUACGUCCUGAGGGACAAAGUGGGGGAUCUUCGGACCUCACGCUAUCAGAUGAGCCUAGGUCGGAUUAGCUAGUUGGUGGGGUAAAGGCCUACCAAGGCGACGAUCCGUAACUGGUCUGAGAGGAUGAUCAGUCACACUGGAACUGAGACACGGUCCAGACUCCUACGGGAGGCAGCAGUGGGGAAUAUUGGACAAUGGGCGAAAGCCUGAUCCAGCCAUGCCGCGUGUGUGAAGAAGGUCUUCGGAUUGUAAAGCACUUUAAGUUGGGAGGAAGGGCAGUAAGUUAAUACCUUGCUGUUUUGACGUUACCAACAGAAUAAGCACCGGCUAACUUCGUG